rnacentral:lncRNA from 1 species
ACUGAGAGUCGCCUCGGCCGCUCGCUUUCUCGACUCCCGCCUCGCGCCUCGAUCCUGUUCCGCCUCCCUCGGCCCUCCUGCCCGCCCCCACUCGUCGGCCCUCAGGUUCCUGGAAAGUGAAAAUUUCAUUUCUUUGUGGACAGGUACCUAAAAUGUCUCAUUAUUCAUCAAUUAAUGAAAAACAAAUGAAAAUUUGAGAGAGAUAUUCUGAAGAAUAAAAGGAUCAAGUUGGGUCAUUUCUAAAAUCUCAGAGACCUAAUAGGAUGGGGUCUUAGAGAAACAUCUUUUGAGCCACAGACUUCUUUGUUACCAGAAGGAAAAUGAAAGAAGAAAUUUAAAUACCACUUGAAGAGAGUUUCCUCAUCAGCAAAGUCAGAAAAAGUAUGUACCUGAAGGACUGAUUGUAAGGCUGGGAUGAGAGAAUCCAUGUGAUCAGCCCUCACCAACAGGUGCUGCCCAGUUCAUGAGUGCUGCUGCUGUCCUGCCCAAGUACCCAGCUUGCAGAGUGCCAGAGUUAGAGUCCCAGGGGUGUUCUCCACAGCUGCAUGCUUGAUCCAGGCCUAUCAGCAUUGUCUUUGAAUAUUAGCAAAUAAUGGAACAUGGGCCAAGGGUGAACCAUGACGAAUUUGUGUUCCAGCAGCCCUGCUUCUUUAGAAUUGACAGUCUGGCUUCGUGGUUAAUUCACAGCAUCUGAGGAAUACAUCCAAAGAGGGUGAUACUGUGGCAUGAUGGUACCAGGAUUCCAAGUUCAUUCCAGGUACAGUCGAUGCAUCAUUCACAGCAGACUCGUGAGUGUCCAUCCUGUGCCAGACUCCAUCGCAGGUGCUGGGGAUACCAGGCAGAGGAUGCAGUGUUGCCAGCUAUCAGGAAGACCUGACGGUCAACAAUCGUGCUUCCAAAGCCACCUGCAUAUUAUACUCCCUUGGGGGUCAGCUGUAAUAUACCUGUGCCUAGGCCCCAUCCUAGGCCAAUGGAAUCAGAAUCUCUGGGCCUAGGGCUGGCACACCCAUCUUUUUUAAGCCUCAAGUGCUGUUCAUGGGCAGUCAGGGCUGAGACCCCCUGCUGGAGUAGAAGGAUGGUGCAUAGGUAGCAAAACCACAAAGCAAUGGGCAAAGGCCAAGUCGCAGAUGGCAGUUGCGUAAGCUGGAAGUGGUGACAUUUCUCUUCAGUGCAUAACCACAGCUCAGAAUGAAUAUUUGUAUGGAUCAGGAGGCCAAGUGACCUGGUAUUGAGCAGUAGAUAAACGUUGCAUCUAUUUAUCACCACCCCCAAAAAACCUUUUUAAAAUGGCAAAUACCAUUCAUUAAAUGUUUAUUUUUCCUGCAUGAGGUCAAACAAA